rnacentral:rRNA from 1 species
UGCCAGCCGCCGCGGUAAGACAGAGGAUGCAAGCGUUGUUCGGAAUCAUUGGGCUUAAAGAGGGUGUAGGCGGCUGUACAAGCGUUGUGUGAAAUCCCACGGCUCAACCGUGGAAUUGCACGGCGAACUGUACAGCUUGAGGUCGGUAGAGGUGCCUGGAACUCUAGGUGGAGCGGUGAAAUGCGUAGAUAUCUAGAGGAACGCCAGAGGCGAAAGCGGGGCACUGGGCCGAUUCUGACGCUGAGACCCGAAAGCGUGGGGAGCAAACAGGAUUAGAUA